CCUACGGGAGGCAGCAGUGAGGAAUCUUGCGCAAUGGGCGAAAGCCUGACGCAGCGACGCCGCGUGGAGGAAGACGGCCUUCGGGUUGUAAACUCCUGUCAGAGGUGAAGAAUCCCCGCAAGGGGUUGACGGUAACCUCAAAGGAAGCCCCGGCUAACUACGUGCCAGCAGCCGCGGUAAUACGUAGGGGGCAAACGUUACUCGGAAUUACUGGGCGUAAAGGGUGUGUAGGUUGUUGAGUAAGUCAAAGAUGAAAUUCCGGAGCUUAACUUCGGAAUUG
rnacentral:rRNA from 1 species